rnacentral:rRNA from 1 species
CAAGGGGGACAGCGGCAAACGGGGUAGUAACGGGUAGGUGACGUACCCUCGGGUCGGGGAUAGCCACGGGAAACUGUGGGUAAUACCCGAUAACCUCUGCAGGCGUGAUAGUCUGGAGAGCAAAGGUGUGAUUCCACCUGGGGAGCGGCCUGCUUCGUAUUAGCUAGUUGGUGAGGUAACGGCUCACCAAGGCGACGAUGCGUAGGGGGUGUGAGAGCAUGACCCCCACCACUGGGACUGAGAUACUGCCCAGACACCUACGGGUGGCUGCAGUCGAGAAUCUUCGGCAAUGGGCGCAAGCCUGACCGAGCGACGCCGCGUGUGGGAUGAAGGCCCUUGGGUUGUAAACCACUGUCAGAGGGGAUGAAAUGCAGGAGAGUUAUCUCUUCUGUUUGACAUAGCCUCAGAGGAAGCACGGGCUAAGUUCGUGCCAGCAGCCGCGGUAAUACGAACUGUGCGAACGUUAUUCGGAAUCACUGGGCUUACAGGGUGCGUAGGCGGCUUGUCAAGUAGGGUGUGAAAGCCCCCGGCUCAACCGGGGAAUGGCGCCCUAAACUGGCGAGCUAAAGUGAGAUAGAGGUGUGUGGAACUUCCGGUGGAGCGGUGAAAUGUGUUGAUAUCGGAAGGAACGCCGGUGGCGAAAGCGACACACUGGAUCUUGUCUGACGCUGAGGCACGAAAGCCAGGGGAGCGAACGGGAUUAGAUACCCCGGUAGUCCUGGCUGUAAACGAUGAACACUAGCUAGGAGGGGCGUAUGCCCUUCCUAACGGAGCGAAAGUGUUAAGUGCUCCGCCUGGGGAGUAUGGUCGC